GUCCGGUGGCGGGUGCUAUACAUGCAGUCGAGCGGACCGACGGGAGCUUGCUCCCUUAGGUCAGCGGCGGACGGGUGAGUAACACGUGGGUAACCUGCCUGUAAGACUGGGAUAACUCCGGGAAACCGGGGCUAAUACCGGAUGCUUGAUUGAACCGCAUGGUUCAAUCAUAAAAGGUGGCUUUCAGCUACCACUUGCAGAUGGACCCGCGGCGCAUUAGCUAGUUGGUGAGGUAACGGCUCACCAAGGCGACGAUGCGUAGCCGACCUGAGAGGGUGAUCGGCCACACUGGGACUGAGACACGGCCCAGACUCCUACGGGAGGCAGCAGUAGGGAAUCUUCCGCAAUGGACGAAAGUCUGACGGAGCAACGCCGCGUGAGUGAUGAAGGUUUUCGGAUCGUAAAACUCUGUUGUUAGGGAAGAACAAGUACCGUUCGAAUAGGGCGGUACCUUGACGGUACCUAACCAGAAAGCCACGGCUAACUACGUGCCAGCAGCCGCGGUAAUACGUAGGUGGCAAGCGUUGUCCGGAAUUAUUGGGCGUAAAGCGCGCGCAGGCGGUUUCUUAAGUCUGAUGUGAAAGCCCCCGGCUCAACCGGGGAGGGUCAUUGGAAACUGGGGAACUUGAGUGCAGAAGAGGAGAGUGGAAUUCCACGUGUAGCGGUGAAAUGCGUAGAGAUGUGGAGGAACACCAGUGGCGAAGGCGACUCUCUGGUCUGUAACUGACGCUGAGGCGCGAAAGCGUGGGGAGCGAACAGGAUUAGAUACCCUGGUAGUCCACGCCGUAAACGAUGAGUGCUAAGUGUUAGAGGGUUUCCGCCCUUUAGUGCUGCAGCAAACGCAUUAAGCACUCCGCCUGGGGGAGUACGGUCGCAAGACUGAAACUCAAAGGAAUUGACGGGGGCCCGCACAAGCGGUGGAGCAUGUGGUUUAUUCGAAGCAACGCGAAGAACCUUACCAGGUCUUGACAUCCUCUGACAACCCUAGAGAUAGGGCUUCCCCUUCGGGGGCAGAGUGACAAGUGGUGCAUGGUGUCGUCAGCUCGCGCCUGAGAUGUUGGGUUAAGUCCCGCAACAGCGCAACCCUCGAUCUAGUUGCCAGCAUUCAUUUGGGCACUCUUAGAUGACUGUCGGGUUGACAACCGGAGGAAGAUGGGGGAUGACGGUCGA
rnacentral:rRNA from 1 species